ensembl:lncRNA
CAUGACUUCAGAAGACUUGGAAUAUAACAAACGAUUCGCAUAGACCACAUUAAUGUGGAUUUUGUAGCCCUUUUAAGCUUGAAAGCCUUUGAGAGCGGCCAGUGCAACGACAGGAACCUGGAUCACUUUCCACAAGCUUGAUGGUCCCUGUGUGCCUGUAUGUGUCCUGUGUUUGAGUGGUCAGCAUCCAGUCCAUCUGUGUUAGCUGCCACAAAACACCAGGAGCCUUUUGAACUGCAAGCUCCUAGAGGUGAAAGGUCACCUGGCAGGUGGCAGAAGAAGGUCAAGGACAUGUCAGACAUGAGAAGUUACCAAAUUUAAUACAAUCAAGACAAAGUCAGGAGAUUCAACACCGAUGUCAGAGCCACGGCAGAGAGAGGAGAGCCAGCAACUGGAAGUGUUUUAGGAAGUUUUUCUUAACAUCAGGACAAGCCAGCACUUUGUAUUAUGUUGUCCUGGAGGUUGAGGAAAGGAGAAGAUGUGCUGUCCAUCCAAAGCAGGGAUUUCUGGAUGCAUGUCUGAUAUGUUUUCUAAGCAGAGGACAGGAAGGACAGUCUGAGGCCAAUGGAUCACACCCAGCCUGCCCUAUGUCUCUCUGUUCAGACAGACACAUACAACGACCUCGGCAGUUGAGCAGAAGUGCAAUUGGAAAGCAGUAAUCCUAAUAUGGCUGGAAUGUUACAUCACCUAAUUAAUAUUCAUGGCUCACCCAGGCUCCUAAAGCAAAUUCUGUGUCCCAGUCAUUUUUCAGAUCUUUCCUGUAUCUCUUUUAGUUUAAUCAGUUAUUCAAAAAGUUUACUCAGUUACUAGCUAAAAGUUAAUGAAUACGAAUGUUACACAGGUAAUCUCACACCAUUAGCCACAGCAGCUACUGAGUUCAGUAAGGCGGGAUGAGAUGAGCCAGAACAGGUCCGACCCAACAGCACAUUCCCACUGUAACCCAGGGGAUUUCCAGGCCGUCUUCAUAUGAACCAACUGACCUGAGUGCAGUGAAAGGAAUACUGUUCUGCUCGGUGAGCUCCACGGAUGGUCCGGGACAGAGGAUAAGAG